GAUAAGUGCAGUUUUGCACUAUUUAUAUUCAACGUUUGAUCGUUCGUCUUAUUUAAAAUUUUUUUAUGAUUAUUAUUUUUAUUGCUAUUAGAUUAUAAAAUAUGAAUAAUAUUUUAUGUGUGACUAAAUAUUUUUAAUUUUUUUACAAAUUUUUCAAAUAAGACGGACGAUCAAACGUUGGGUACGGAUAUCCACGGCUGUACUUAUU
rfam:Oryza sativa (indica cultivar-group) chromosome 6, whole genome shotgun sequence.